rnacentral:rRNA from 1 species
UACGAAGGGUGCAAACGUUGCUCGGAAUUAUUGGGCGUAAAGCGCACGUAGGCGGCAUUGUAAGUCGGAUGUGAAAUCCCUCGGCUUAACCAAGGAAGUGCAUCCGAAACUGCAGUGCUUGAGUACUUAAGAGGAUCGCGGAAUUCCCGGUGUAGAGGUGAAAUUCGUAGAUAUCGGGAGGAACACCAGUGGCGAAGGCGGCGAUCUGGGAAGAUACUGACGCUGAGGUGCGAAAGCGUGGGGAGCAAACAGG